rnacentral:rRNA from 1 species
GCGCGCGUAGGUGGUUUGUUAAGUUGGAUGUGAAAUCCCCGGGCUCAACCUGGGAACUGCAUUCAAAACUGACUGACUAGAGUAUGGUAGAGGGUGGUGGAAUUUCCUGUGUAGCGGUGAAAUGCGUAGAUAUAGGAAGGAACACCAGUGGCGAAGGCGACCGGGACCUGGACUGAUACUGACACUGAGGUGCGAAAGCGUGGGGAGCAAACAGGAUUAGAUACCCUAGU